UACAGAGGUCCCAAGCGUUGUUCGGAUUCACUGGGCGUAAAGGGUGCGUAGGUGGCCAGGUAAGUCUGAUGUGAAAUCUCGGAGCUCAACUCCGAAACUGCAUUGGAUACUAUCUGGCUGGAGGGUCGGAGGGGGGACUGGAAUUCUCGGUGUAGCAGUGAAAUGCGUAGAUAUCGAGAGGAACACCAGUGGCGAAGGCGAGUACCUGGACGACUCCUGACACUGAGGCACGAAAGCUAGGGGAGCAAACAGG
rnacentral:rRNA from 1 species